AUUGAACGCUGGCGGCAGGCUUAACACAUGCAAGUCGAGCGGAGCGAGGGUGCUUGCACCUUAGCUUAGCGGCGGACGGGUGAGUAAUGCUUAGGAAUCUGCCUAUUAGUGGGGGACAACAUUCCGAAAGGAAUGCUAAUACCGCAUACGCCCUACGGGGGAAAGCAGGGGAUCUUCGGACCUGGCGCUAAUAGAUGAGCCUAAGUCGGAUUAGCUAGUUGGUGGGGUAAAGGCCUACCAAGGCGACGAUCUGUAGCGGGUCUGAGAGGAUGAUCCGCCACACUGGGACUGAGACACGGCCCAGACUCCUACGGGAGGCAGCAGUGGGGAAUAUUGGACAAUGGGCGGAAGCCUGAUCCAACCAUGCCGCGUGUGUGAAGAAGGCCUUUUGGUUGUAAAGCACUUUAAGCGAGGAGGAGGCUACUUAGAUUAAUACUCUGGGAUAGUGGACGUUACUCGCAGAAUAAGCACCGGCUAACUCUGUGCCAGCCGCCGCAGUAACAC
rnacentral:rRNA from 1 species